UCUAGUCCAGUAUUCUGUCUGCAACAGUGCCCAUCACUAGAUGCCCCCAAAGAAGGUGCAAGAACUCCACAGAAGGCAGAUGUGGGGUACAACAGAAGGGCUGAUGAUGUGGAACCCCACAUAAGAACACCCUGCUGGCAGAAAAGCAAUUACCCAGAUCUACUCUGGAAUCUCUUCAGGGGAAAAGAAUGAAGCUUGUUCCACAAGCAAAUCACCAACACUUCACAAACUACGUCCAUCACAGAAGAGAGAACUGCGUUGCCAACUGCAGCAUCAAAGCUAGAGGCAUCAACCAAGGCAUAGUGUCUAGAGAAG